rnacentral:rRNA from 1 species
GGACUACCAGGGUAUCUAAUCCUGUUUGCUACCCACGCUUUCGCGCCUCAGCGUCAGAUGAUGCCCAGUUUGCUGCCUUCGCCAUGGGUGUUCCUCCUGAUAUCAACGCAUUUCACCGCUACACCAGGAAUUCCACAAACCUCUGCAUCCCUCCAGUCCGCCAGUAUGUAAAGCAGUUUCCGGGUUGAGCCCUGGAGAUUUCACUUCACACUUAACGGACCGCCUACGCGCUCUUUACGCCCAGUAAAUCCGGACAACGCUCGCACCCUACGUCUUACCGCGGCUGCUGGCAC